CUGAGAUUGUAGGAAAUUCCGAGUUACAUUUUCCAGCCUCUCGGGCCAGAAGUCUCCACUACGUCCUGGGAAACAUAUAUCAAAUGGAGUUGAAGAGAAAAAGGGAGUGAGCAACCAAGUGAGCAAAUAUUAGGCCAGCUCUCGGAGUUGGAGGUGACUGAGGCCACAGGAAAUGAUGGAGACCUCAGAGAUCAUCUGGGAACACCCUCCUCCUCUGGGACCUAUCUGCAGUUCUCUUCCCAUGCUGUGCCCUUUGCCUUUGGCCUUCCUUCACAUGCUGGUCCCUGCGUCCAGAUCACUCUCGGCCCCUCUUUUGUCUGAUUGGUUGGCCCUUCGACUUACGCAUCGCUCUUUUGGAGAAGGUUUCCCUGAGUCCUGUUUUAGCUAUCCCUCGAAUGCACUCCUGGCAUAUCCGGUGUUCACUGGAAUGUAAUUGGCCAUUUUCACUCUAGUACUUCCUAAAUAAUGCUUAAUGUGCGAUAAU